rnacentral:rRNA from 1 species
AGCGAACGUUAGCGGCGGGCCUAACACAUGCAAGUCGAGCGAGAAAAGGGCUUCGGCCCUGAGUAAAGCGGCGGACGGGUGAGUAACACGUAGGUAAUCUUCCCUUGAGCGGGGGACGAACGAGCCGAAAGGCUCGCUAAUACCGCAUAAGUUCAUAGGGACUCCGGUCUUUAUGAGGAAAGCUAGGUAGCAAUAUCCGGCACUCGAGGAGGAGCCUGCGUCGCAUCAGCAGUUGGUGGGGUAACGGCCUACCAAGGCGAAGACGCGUAGCUGGUCUGAGAGGAUGAUCAGCCACACUGAAACUGAGACACGGUUCAGACUCCUACGGGAGGCAGCAGUCGGGAAUUUUGGGCAAUGGGCGAAAGCCUGACCCAGCAACGUCGCGUGAAGGAUGAAGUAUUUC